AUUGAACGCUGGCGGCAGGCCUAACACAUGCAAGUCGAGCGGAUGAAGGGAGCUUGCUCCUGGAUUCAGCGGCGGACGGGUGAGUAAUGCCUAGGAAUCUGCCUGGUAGUGGGGGAUAACGUCCGGAAACGGGCGCUAAUACCGCAUACGUCCUGAGGGAGAAAGUGGGGGAUCUUCGGACCUCACGCUAUCAGAUGAGCCUAGGUCGGAUUAGCUAGUUGGUGGGGUAAAGGCCUACCAAGGCGACGAUCCGUAACUGGUCUGAGAGGAUGAUCAGUCACACUGGAACUGAGACACGGUCCAGACUACUACGGGAGGCAGCAGUGGGGAAUAUUGGACAAUGGGCGAAAGCCUGAUCCAGCCAUGCCGCGUGUGUGAAGAAGGUCUUCGGAUUGUAAAGAACUUUAAGUUGGGAGGAAGGGCAGUAAGUUAAUACCUUGCUGUUUUGACGUUACCAACAGAAUAAGCACCGGCUAACUUCGUG
rnacentral:rRNA from 1 species